GUGGGGAAUUUUCCGCAAUGGGCGAAAGCCUGACGGAGCAAUGCCGCGUGGAGGUGGAAGGCCUACGGGUCGUCAACUUCUUUUUCUCGGAGAAGAAACAAUGACGGUAUCUGAGGAAUAAGCAUCGGCUAACUCUGUGCCAG
rnacentral:rRNA from 1 species